UACACGGUCCAUGGUGGAGUCUUCAGGUCGGUGAAGAAGAGGAACGUCACACAGACCAACUGAAAGAACGUCUUCUCCGUGCUGAAGCUCUGAGACUGCUGAAUGAACAAAGACGCAUGAAGGGCCAGGAGAAGAAGAGAACGAUAACGCCUGGAACAAACAUUUGAGUGAAGACACAAGGUGUUGGACGAGGAGCAGCAGACUGGAUGGAGACGAGGACAUCAAGAGAAGGUUGGAGGAGCAGCUGGAGAAACAGAGGGAGGCUCAUCAGAAGCUGCUCAGCCGCCUCCGAGACCAAACUGCUGAAUGAACAAAGACACAUGAAGGGCCUGGAGGAGACGAGAACGGGAGCGCAUGGAACAAACAUUUGAUGAGGGCAGAGUUUCCACACCUGACCUGAAGAAGAAGAAGACGACGCCGACGGAGUUCCUUUUCUUCUUCAUCCUCCUCUUCUUCCACCCUGCGGUUACUCUGAGAGUCUAAAAGAAU